rnacentral:rRNA from 1 species
GACGAAGGGGGCUAGCGUUGUUCGGAAUUACUGGGCGUAAAGUGCGUGUAGGCGGUUGUCCAAGUUGGAUGUGAAAGCCUUGAGCUCAACUCAAGAAAUGCAUUCAGGACUGGAUGACUAGAGGACCGGAGAGGAUAGUGGAAUUCCCAGUGUAGUGGUGAAAUACGUAGAGAUUGGGAAGAACACCAGUGGCGAAGGCGGCUAUCUGGACGGUUUCUGACGCUAAGACGCGAAAGCGUGGGGAGCAAACAGG